GAGGCGCUCGUGCAUGCGGCGAAUGCCCUUGUUGCUGCGGCCAACAGGGAUCCCAGUUUUGCCGGCGUCUUCACCCUGUUCAAUGCGGGGUCGCCAUC
rnacentral:tRNA from 1 species